rnacentral:lncRNA from 1 species
GUAGGUUGACUGUCGGGACAAGCCCAGGGAUGGCAUUGUUUCUAUUUGCUGAUAAAUGACUCUGGGGCUGUGAAGACUCAGACCCAAGGAGUGACUCAGAAAGUCAGGGGCCCAUGUCAUUCUGCUCUGGGUUCAGACGUGCACUGCAGCAGCACCGGGACUUGACAGCCCUACGGCUCGAUCAGCUUUCUGUUUUCAUUGCCUUACGAUGCCAUGAGUGGAACUAUUGUCAAAUCAGAGUUCACUCCCCAGCUUUUCAGUCUUUCCCCUAAUUCUUGCUCUAUCAGAGGUCGAGGACAACAGUAUAAUGAUUCAUAGGUUCUACUUCCUGGCAAGUAAUCAUUUUCCCACGGGCCCUUGUGAAUUGAUGAAUAUGAAGACACUAAGAAAGCAGAAAUAGAACUGAGAAGAAUGAAAUAACUGUCUCUACCUUUCUCGAAUUGUCUAAUAUGGAAAGAAUGAAAGACAGCUAAUAAGCAACUCUCUGCAAGAAGACAUAUGGCUUAGAAUCUACUUGGAGAGAGUCAAACACAGAAUCCCUUUGAAUUUAAUGGCCAUUCCAGGUGAUUUGAACAGCCAAAUAAGAAACAGGUCCUCUUCAAUGUACAAUCUGCCAAGUAUGAAGUCUGAAUGACCAUCAUUAUUAUGUAUUUAAUGUGCAUAGAAAAUCUAUCUGCAACCUUCCAGAGUGUACCAGAAGUUUGGAAUGUACAUUAUUAUUGGCUCCAUCUCAAACCACUCAUAAAUCAAAGAAAAUAGCAGUUCCAGAGGAAUCAUCAUAGAGGCUUCUAGGCCCCCAUGCUGUGUGAACCUGGUGAGAAAGGGAAGUCUGCUCUCACUGGACACUGGAACUGUUUGUCUCUGUCUCUGCUGUACUUUCCCUGCCUCUACCUCACUUAGUAAAGAAAUCAUCUUUGCUUGAUAACUAAAACAACCAAUAAGGCUGAGAAAGGGGAAAACCCACAUCUGGAUUUAAAUACAAGGUAUUGGGCCAGCUGCUGGGGAUUAAACUUUGAACAAAACAGAUAGAAUCUAUGUCCUCAUGGGAGUGGCUAAUGGGAGAGUCGGAACAAAAAAAUAGCCAAGGAUAAUCCAGCAAAUGAUUUGGUGAAUGCUAUCAAAGAGAGAAAUACACAUGCUCUGGGAACACCAAACAGAGUCUCCCUCUCUGACCCAGGCUGGAGUGCCGUGGUAUGAUCUCGGCUCACUGCAACUUCUGCCUCCCAGCUUCAAGCAAUUCUCCUGUCUUAGCUUCCCAAGUAGCUGGGAUUACAGGCGUGCACCACCACACCAGGCUAAUUUUGUAUUUUUAGUAGAGACGGGGUUUUGCCAUGUUGGCCAGGCUGGUCUCGAACCCCUGACCUCAGGUGAUCUGCCCACCUCAACCUCCCAAAGUGCUGGGAUUACAGGUGUGAGCCACUGCAUCUGGCCUCAUAUAUUUUACUAUAACAAAUCAGUGUAGGCCAAAUAAAGUUAGAAAUGGAAGCUAAUGGAAAUAAAGAAUAGGCUUUCCUGUUAGUAUCUAUAGGUGUGUGUGUGUGUGUUCGUUAUUUAGGGAAAGAAACAGGGAACUUGGGGCAUAUAAUAUUUAUGUUCCCUUAGCUUAGGCAUAUAUGGUAUAUUUAGUUACUUAAUUAAUUUUUUAUUUAGAAGUUAUGUAUAGAGCAUUUUUCCUAGGCCAGUGGGGGAUUAAACCAGAAAUAUAAGAAGUGUCUGCCUUCUGGAAGCUUGUGAUCUAGUUAGGGGUAUCACAAGUGCACAGCGUUCACCAGUGGCAGAGAAGCAUGUGAUGAGUACCCAGAGCUUAUAUUGAGAAUAAGGUAUACAAGAAUUUAGAGGAGGCCAAUGUUGAUUUUCACCAAGAGUAUGGGACAGAGAGACAAGACAGGGUUGGUCAUCUAGUUCUGUGCACUGAAUAUAAUUUUGCAGGUUUAGGAGUGUUUGAAAACUACAAGGAAGAUAGAAUCUUGGUCUUGUUCUCCAGCAUGCCCUUUCUUGAACUCACCAGGGUAAUGCUGCAUCUUUUCAGAAAUGCCUCUGGCUUCUCAAAGCAACUUUCAUCCUGGAGAGGAACAAUUAGUCUUUGUCUUUCAUUAGUAAAAGAUUUAACGGCUCAGAAGGAGAAGCUAGUGGUGACUUUUCAAUCACCCCUUCUACCUCCCAG